GAUGAAGAACGCAGCGAAAUGCGAUACGUAAUGUGAAUUGCAGAAUUCAGUGAAUCAUCGAAUCUUUGAACGCAUAUUGCGCUCUCUGGUAUUCCGGAGAGCAUGCUUGUUUGAGUAUCAGUAAACACCUCAACUUCCAUAUCUUUUUUGAAAUGGGAGUUGGACUUGAGUGAUCCCAACGCUUUUCCUCACCGAAAAGUGGCUGGUUACUUGAAAUGCAGGUGCAGCUGGACUUUUCUCUGAGCUAUAAGCAUAUCUAUUUAGUCUGCCUAAAAAACAGAUUAUUACCUUUGCUGCAGCUAACAUAAAGGAGAUUAGUUCUUGUGCUGACUGAUGCAGGAUUCACAAAGACAGGCUUCGGCCGACUUUGUAAACUCGAUCUCAAAUCAAGUAAGACUACCCGCUGAACUUAAGCAUAUCAAUAAGCGGAGGA
rnacentral:misc_RNA from 1 species